rnacentral:lncRNA from 1 species
UUUAUUAUAAAAAAAUCUGUUCAAGGUCUUUGACUUUAUCUACAUAUACAACAGCUUCAACUCAGCUCUCCUUGAAUCGGAGGGCACAAUGCCAACAAGUUCCAUGGCUUGGCUCAAUUUGAAGACAACACUGUACUUGCAGAUGAUUCUUUUAGCCUGGUGUGAGUCUAUGUAACCAUGUCUGAAAAGAGUCCCUAGUGCUCCACAGGGAAGAUUGUGGUCAGCAUCUUGGAUUUUCAAGAUGACUUCACCUUCUACUGUGAGAGCAAAUACUAGGCUUCAAAUGGAACUCCCACAAGAUCUGAUACUCAUGGAUCUCACCUCACUGUGCUUGAAUACAAGAUUCUUCAGAAGAUCAACAGAUCUUAUCUUGGUAUCCUGUUCAAACGAGCUGAGAUACCACUUGUCAUGCUGAGGACAGAGUAAGAACCUGUAUUUACUGUAUUUAAGCAUCACAUGAAGUUGGAGGCUGUGCAGGUACAAGUAAUUGGCAGGAACAGGAGAGGUAAGGGAUUGUGAGCAGAGGUUAGGAGCAAAAACAGGAGCUCUCCCUGGAAAGUGGAAAGGCACAGCACCAGACAGCCUUUAGAGGUCAAUUGAAACAAUGCAUUGGAAUGAAGAAGCAGAGACAAAAAUGAACAGAAGGUAAGAGGAUGAACACAGAAAAAUCCCUACUCCAGAAAAAAAAAAAAAAAAGAAAAAAGAGAGAAAGAGGGAGAGACAGGGAGAGAGAAGCAAGGAAGAAGGGUUUGUCAGCACUUUAUUCAGUUUCUGUGAUUGAAAACAGAAGCACUGUUUCUCCAGCUGCAAAAUCCAUCAAUGUGGCAUGUGUAUCCAUCUCCCUCUAGUGCCAAGGAGACGACAGUAUUGCCAUCACCUAGAGUGUGAGCCCAGCUGCUGGAAGCGUGCCUAAUAAAGCACCCACCACUGCUGAUGACCCAGCCAGGGCUUUCACUCAGGGGCACCCCUCCUCUCCCGUUGCUGACUUGUUCAAAAUAGUGUAUGGCAAUGUUUUCAAAUUGUUAGAAGAAGCCUACAUUUGCAAAAUCAAGACUGAAAAAGUAAAUUCAAAUUGCUUGUGAAACCGUACUCCAUCCUCCUGAAUAUGAUCAUAAACUCUUUUAAUGACCUGAUUACAAACUCCUGUAGUUUCCCCUCAAGACUCCCUGCCUUACUUGGGGCAAAGAAUAGCCUGUGUGUGCUGUGGGAAUUUGUUAUUACUGUACAAUGGAGGAGGCUGCUGUCAGCUGAGGCUCAGCAGCUUUUCUUGCAGCACCAUUAUUGCAGAAUCUGAACUGAAAUAGAUCUGCAGUGCCAGAAACAAUGCUCUUACAGUGAAAUUGGUUGAAUGACAACUUACAAAGUGUGGGCAAGCCACGUAGAUUGAAUUGGCAUUAUUCCAGAUUGGUAUUGUCCCAGAAAAAGGCUGCUACUAACAGUGUUAAAUGGAGUAAAAGGUUAUAGUUUUUCACAGUGGCAAGCACAAUAUCUGGGAAAGGGUAGUUUGCAGAAGUCAGAAGGCUCUCACAGUUGCAAUCUUGGUCACAACAGGUUGUGUCUCACACUUCCAGAAUGAUGUACAGUGCUGUAAACACUAAAAAAUCAAUCUGUGCACACUUGAAGUGCAGGAAUCUUUCACUGACUCUAAUCUAGGUGUUUUCAUUCCUCCUUUGUAAGAAGAAAUGGUGAUAAUAAUGCCUUCCUUUUUUUUUGACACAUCUUUGAAGAUUUUAAUCAGUGUUUGUAGAGCUAAAAAAUACUGUCCUUGAGAACAUGAGGGAAUCCCGCUGAAAAUUAAUAAAUUCAGUGUUCUACACUAAAUUGAGCAGCACACAGUAAAGUGAUGGAGAAGCCUACACAUGACAGGAAAAGGAUAAAUAGAGAGGAUAUUGAAGAUCAAGCUUUAGUAAGCACCAAAUAAGGCAGAGAUCUCGUAGCAAAAGUAACAUGACAUUUCCAGUGGUGGGACCCAUCUUACAAGAGACUCACUCGCAAGUCUCUCUCAAACAUGGAGCUAGACAUGCUCUGAGGGAGACAGGCCUCCCUUCUCUCAGAUGCCUGACUUAGUUUUGGAUGAAUCACACCAUGAAGUGCUUUUCUUCUUCUGCCUAUUGGUACAGCUAAUGAGCCUAUCUGGCCAUUUCAGAUUCAUUGCCUAACUUUCACACAGUAAAAAUGAGACUAAUCCUACCUCUAUGGCAUAUACAGAAGCAGUCUGGAUCCAGUUUGCACCUGCAAUAUUAACUUUAAUGCCUUCUAAUUAAUGUCAGAAGCAUGCUUGGAUUUGCAGUCCUGACCAUUACACAGUAGGUUUUGGACUUUCGCUUUCAGCUAAAAAUGUAUUUCUAAUAACAAAAACAUGAUAUAGGUUUGGAAACAAAGGUAAUUCUGUGAUUUCAUUCACCUGCCCAUAAAUGACUAAGAAAGCACACAUAAGACAAUCACAUUUAUAAAUCUAUGUCCUAUCUAUACUAUCUAUAUUAAUAUUUCUAUGUAGUUUUUUUUUUUGGCUGGGUUUUUUGUUUUUUCGGUGGAAUAACUUUCUUACAUCUUUUGUAGAAACAAAGGCAUUUCAUUCAAAACCUAAAAUUUCACUUUUGCUAGAAAGCACUUGCAAGUCAUAAUCUCAGACAUAAUUUUAUUUGCAGACAGGACACUAUUGUAAGGUAUGGGUAUGUGACAUGUGCAGUUCUUCACUUCAUAUUAAUACAGGCACACAAGGAAAUAUAUGCUCCUUUUUUAUCACAGGUCUGCUGAUAAAAGCAGCCUGGCUCAGGGGGAAAAAUGGAGACAACUCUCUUCAAUAAAUGCAUGGUCUAAAAAGUAUCAAUUCCUGUAAUGACAAAAAAGGACCCCACUGAAGCCAGUGUUACUAUUGUGCAUAAAUCUUCAAUCUUUCCCAGUAGGCUAGGAGAGAGGAGGGUGAGUCAGUAGUUUGGUUUUGCUUGGGCUUGUUAUCAACUGUUGUCCUUAUGAGAUUGUGAUUUUGAAAGUACAAGUUGUCAUUCUUCCUGUGCUCUCUCUCUCUUUCUCUGCCUGCGGGGGUAGCAGAAAUGUUGCAAGAUGAAGCACUCCACAUCUCACCGGAGAUAAGAGCAUCUUCAUCAAAGGAAGACAUAGCCACAGCUAUCUGCAAGUAAUCUCAUGAGCCAAGAAUGCAAAACUUCAAGUAGCGUGGGAAUGGUCCCAUUCCAGUCACAGCGGAAACAGUGCAACACACGCCCGCACAUAACCAUAGACUUUUACUAAGAGGGAAAAAUGGAAAUCUAGUGGAAAAAAUAAAGGUCUUGUUUGUGCAGGUGACCUCACAGUGAAGUGUCCAAAGUUCUUUCUUUACUAGCAUCUUAGUAGCAAUGAAAAGUAAUUGGCCAUGCACCUGUAACAGACAAAUGUUUACUUCCAAAUAUUCAAGUAUCUGUUGGUGCCUUGGAACAUAACUCGAUGCAGUAGAUGGCUGUGGUCACUACAGCAUGAGCAGGGGGUUGCACAUCUAUUUAGGAACAAUGCAGCUCCUGGGAGCAAAACAAAAAGUAUGAUGACAGACAAGGAAGGGAUACUCUAACCAGGAGGAACAGAGCACCGUCUCCACUGUGCAGCAUUGUCUAGGAACUCAACACAACUGGGAGGGCAACCAAAGAUGUAAGAGCAAGUUGUCAUUCCUGGUGAAAUGGUACACACUGGUAGUGUAUCCGACUAAUCUGCCACAAAACACCAGUGUCAUAUAGAAGUGACUACAGAGGCAUUGCAUGUGGCUCCUGACCGUGCUGCUGUGGCACCUGGACUGGCAGGUGUUGCUCCUCUACUUCUGGGAUCUUGAGUCCCCUUAGUCCUGCUACAUCACCCUGUACAGUCUCUGCAUCCCUAAUCUGCGUAGUUGUCACACUCUAAGACACUGAACAUGUGAGCUCUGCACAGCCUUCUGAGGGUGUAUGGAUAGGGCGGACCCUCUCGCCCACACUCCAAGUUAGGCGAAAGCAAGCUAGUUCAGAUCUGAAAGUCAUGUAUUUGCACAGAUUUAAAAACUUGGGUACAGCCCUGGGCCACUCCAGCUACACAGAUUCCAGAAGUGGGUGGCAUCCUGUUGGCUUGGAAAAUGAGUGAGGCAAAUGUGUGUCUGUCUGUACCUGUCCUGGUCAAUACAUAUGAGUCAACAGCAUCAUUAUUAGGAAAAUAAGAUUAGGGCAGGGACUUGGAAGGUCCACCUACAACAUCCAAUCUGGUCUCUCUCAUUGUGGAUAUCAACUGUGUGUGGGAUUGCAUCCCCAAAUUUAUCAAGCUCCACCUGAAGAUAAUCUAGAAUGUGUUUGCAUACCCUGUUCCUAAUAGGACAGUACAUAAUGGGACAGAGCUUCCUGAUCUGAUGGUUAGGAGCUUUCUAAUUCCAAUUCUAGAUUACUAACAUUUAAUUAUAUGCAUCUUCUUUCUACCACCAGUAUCAAUUCAAAUUGCUUUUCCCACUCAAGGUGUUGGAUAUCCAAGAUGUUUUUAGACAACAGUGGUGUCCCCGAUCCGUCUGCCUCUGACAGCUCCACCUGCCAUCCCUACUCUGAUAGUUUGCAACUUCUGAUCCACUUCUCACUCUCUUGCCUUUGGCUGAGGAGCUAAUAUUAUGCUCACUUGACCCUCUGAUGAAACUCGUUGAUACAGAGGUGAAUCUCAAAUUUGCUUCCAUCUGUUCUCUCCUUCACCUGGAGGUCAUUUUGUUUCCUGUUCUAUGCCAGUAUCACAUAAGGCUUCAUUGCUCUGUCUGAGACUCCACCUCUUAGCUAUCUCAACUAUAUCUCCCUCUCCUCUGUUGCAACAGUCUUCCCUAAUUUUGUCUUUUGUCAUUCCAUCAUCUGCCUGAUUUUUCAUAUCCCUUUCCAUUACUGCAAUUUAAUUUCUCAUUUUUUUCUUCUCUAUCAGUUAGUCUUUUUUUGUUUUAAUUUUGCAACUCCAUCCUUCUUCCUCUCUUACACUUCAGGUAAGUUUCCUAGAUCCUAGCCUUAAAGAAAGGAUGAAAAUUCUCAGAUCUCCUCCUACAAAUUGCUACACAAACCACCCUUGCUGUUGUUUGUUUUGGGUAGGUAGAGAAUUCUUGCAAGAGUAAUUUUUCCUUUGGUCUUACCUGAAACAGUCUUUCACAAGAAGCUGAAUGUGUGCAGUCGCAGGCAGUAACUUUGACAAUACAUUUGAAACCACCAGUAGGUCUUGUACCACCUCCUGGCACAUUUGAAGGAAAACAACCUUAGGCAUUCUUCUACUGCAAUGUAAAUCAUUCUGGUAUCUUCAGACCUGAGCAAAACCACUCCUGUUUUCUAUCUCAUCCUACUUCUUGCUAUCACCUUUUCGGCAUGCUAAGGAAAGUGUACUAGGAAAGCAUACUUCUUUCUUUCCACUAAUCUCAUUUCUGGGUGAUGUGAGAAGCCUAUCAGGAAGACAGAGAAAGAUGUUAGAUAGCUUAAGUGUUCACACAGUCACCAUAUGCCUAGGAAAUACACUUUGUUCUGCUGACCUCCAGAAUAUUUUGACCUCUCUAGCUAACUUGCUUCUACUGUGCUGCCUGAGAUCCCUCUUUCAAAGGAAACUGUUUUCAUUCAUUAAUCUGAGUUAGUUUGGACCAAUGGUUUUGCAUUUUGGAAUAUGUUUUAGUUUACUGAGGUCUCUUCAAAAGAAAGCAGUACAAAUCUACAGUUUAUUAUAUGGGCAGUUUAAGAAAAACAAAAUCAAGCUGUUUGGUGCUUUCUAUAAAAAGGAGAUGAUACAGAAUACCAAGAGUUUGGGCUUUUUUUUUUUUUUGCGGUGGUGGGGAGGGGUAAGGGGGUGGAGGCAGAUGAUUUUUCAAGUUCUGCUUGAUAUUAUAUCCACCUCAGAAAGUAGAUGGAAGAUGCAAAGUCCUGCAAAGGGGCCUGAACUUUGUCCUCUUGGACACAGAUUAGAGGAAAUAAAAAGGGUGGUUGUGCCCACUCUUGCAAACAACUGUAAAUUCUAAGUAGAAUGCAGGGAGACUGCUUGUUUAGGCCCUUACAUUCUCAAAAUAUGACAAUAUCUCCGAAUGUAUUUAUCCUCUUCUUGAGCAGACUUUCACAUCUGAUUGUACAACAAUGAAAGGACCAAAGGUACAAAAAGAAAUAUUCAGGAUUUUGGCUCAGCUGAGUAAGCACCUCUUGACAUUUCUGAUCAAACUGUAAAGAACAACAUAAGGAAAACAGGCUGAUAACAUAUAAAUAAUAUUUCCUAGCUUCAGGCAUAUGGUAACCCACAUUUGAAUUAUGCAGACUAGGAAGACCGUUCCUUUGUAGUGAUCCAAAUACUUCAUACUACUUAUCUGUGGUUUUAAAAGCAUAAGGCACAAUAAGUGAUCAUCUUGAUGGUUAUGAUUUUUCCUCCCUUUCUCACAAAGAUAAGUAAACCACCUCUGCCCCAGACAGAAUCCCAGCAUUAACCCAUGU